AUACGGAGGGUGCAAGCGUUACUCGGAAUCACUGGGCGUAAAGCGCGCGCAGGCGGCUUGAUAAGUUGGAUGUGAAAGCCUACGGCUCAACCGUAGAACUGCAUCCAAAACUGUCAGGCUAGAGUCUGGGAGGGGAAGAUGGAAUUAGUUGUGUAGGGGUAAAAUCCGUAGAGAUAACUAGGAAUACCAAAAGCGAGGGCGAUCUUCUGGAACAGUACUGACGCUGAGGCGCGAAAGCGUGGGGAGCAAACAGGAUUAGAUACCCUAGUAGUCC
rnacentral:rRNA from 1 species